GCCCUAGUACGGCGAGUGAAGCGGCAACAGCUCAAUUUGAAAUCUGGCCCUAGGGUCCGAAUUGUAAUUUGUAGAGGAUGCUUUUGGUGCGGUACCUUCCGAGUUCCUUGGAACAGGACGCCUUAGAGGGUGAGAGCCCCGUACGGUUGGAUACCUAGCCUCUGUAAAGCUCCUUCGACGAGUCGAGUAGUUUGGGAAUGCUGCUCUAAAUGGGGAGGUAAAUUUCUUCUAAAGCUAAAUACCGGCCAGAGACCGAUAGCGCACAAGUAGAGUGAUCGAAAGAUGAAAAGCACUUUGAAAAGAGGGUUAAAUAGCACGUGAAAUUGUUGGAAAGGGAAGGGCUUAUGACCAGACUUUGGCCUUGCGGAUCAUCCGGUGUUCUCACCGGUGCACUUCGCUUGGUUGAGGCCAGCAUCGAUUUUCUUAGAGGGUUAAAGACAGUAGGAAUGUGACUCCCCCGGGAGUGUUAUAGCCUACUGUGUAAUACCUUUAGGGGGAUCGAGGUUCGCGCUUCGGCAAGGAUGCUGGCAUAAUGGUCAUCAGCCACCCGUCUUGAAACACGGACCAAGGAGUCGAACAUUUAUGCGAGUGUUUGGGUGUUAAACCCUCACGCGUAAUGAAAGUGAACGGAGGUGAGAGCCUUAGGGUGCAUCAUCGACCGAUCCUGAUGUCUUCGGAUGGAUUUGAGUAAGAGCAUUAAUGUUCGGACCCGAAAGAUGGUGAACUAUGCGUGGAUAGGGUGAAGCCAGAGGAAACUCUGGUGGAGGCUCGCAGCGGUUCUGACGUGCAAAUCGAUCGUCAAAUCUGCGCAUGGGGGC
rnacentral:rRNA from 1 species